rnacentral:lncRNA from 1 species
AGCGGGCGCCCCCUCCCCCGGUCAGGAUUAAUGGCGAGGCCUCCGCAGCGGAGGAGGGGCCGGGCCGAGGUGGGUCAGCGCCCCCGCCCCUGCCGCGCGAGCCGCUGCGGGUUGGGACCGGCUGCCGCAGCGCCCCCCCAAGCGCUCUCCCGCAGUCCCCCUCCUCUGACAGCCGCAGAGUAGGCGCCGCCCCCUCGCCCCCACCGGCUCUGCGUCUGGCGCAGCUGGGGGAGGUUGCAGGGGGUGUGGGGGGAGUGUUGCUCCGACCUGACGGGUGAAAGGGGUUCUGCUAUGGUCCUUCUGUCUUUCCCCAGUUCCACCCCCCUCCACACACACUGAGGAUCCAGGAUUUCAGGGACCCCUUUGGAGGAGUGGUUCCCUGCUCCCCCAGGGAGGACGCCAGGGUGAGGGUGAGAGCAGUUCUAGGCGACGUUGAUGCCAGCAGCUCUGCCCACAUGGUAGGUGCUCAGUAAGUGUUGUCUACGCGAAGGAUGUCUCAGCCAGCCCUGAGGCAUUUACCCUGUGCCCUCAUCUUCAGACGCUGAGGCUUUCCCAUUUCAUUUCUGCAGUCUUCGCCCCAUAGUUCAGAAGGAACCAAUGAGGCCCAGAGAGGGGUCAACCUGGGGUCAACCAGCAGGGACACUAAUGCUUUCUCCAAGGGUGUGGCAGGCACCGAGGUUUUGCAGGCCCCCACCCCUCCCGCAAACCUGAGGCAGGACCGGCAAGGGAAGGGUUAGUGGGUUAGAGACCCCCCCCCUCCCUCCCCCCUCCCACCCGUCUCUAAUCGGCCUCUGCUAAUCCGCAGCUUGAAUCCUCACCCGCUCCCCUGCCUCUGGGAAUUAGGUACCUGGGGGUGAGGAGGGGAGGGGAGGGAUGGGUUGAUAGCAGCCAGGAAGUAAUGAGGGGCGUAGAGACAGUGGAGCACUGGUGUAGCGCCUCUCACCCAUUACUUUCCCUACGAACCCUGCAACUGCCUGGCAUUGCGUGAAGUGCUUGACAUGAAGCUACUCACCCCUCACCGCAGCCCUCUGAAGUGGCUGCUAUUACCAUCGAGCCCAUUUCACAGAUGAGGAAACUGAAUCUCAGAGAGGUUUAGACACUUGCCUGAGGUCACGGAGCUGAGAAGUGGUGAUGGUCGGGAGCAUCUAAUUUUAGCAUCUUUUGUGAUCUGAAUGGGCUUAGAAUUUCCCAGAUCAUCAAGUCCUGGUUCCUUUUUACUUCACACUUCUUCCCUCAAUCUGUCUAUUUCCUCUCACAUUUUAUAACAAGCAGAGAGAAGAAACCAGGCUGCGCUUUCAACACUUUGCUGGAAAUUCCCCUAGGCUACAUAUCCAAGUGCACUGCUUGCAAAUUCUGCUUUCUGCAUAACUGUAGGCUACAACACAACUAAAUUUCUGCCCCUCUACAUGAAGGGACCCCUUUUUCCAUAGGGGUCAACUUGAUGUUCUGCUCUAGAACAUUCCCCAGGGACAGCCUGAUGAGCAAACAUAUUUAAAAGGUUCAGCCUUACAGAGACCAAAGAAAGGUGGAAAAACAAUAAGAAUCUGCCAUGGUUUGGCACUCCUCGAAGUCACUGCAGAUUUGUAAAUGGAUAAAACCCGGUACUGGUGAGGAUGUAGUGAAACAGGCAUUUUCAUCAUUGCUUGAAUGGGUGUAUGAAUUGUAAAAGCAGUUUGGCUUGUGUGGCACAGGCCUAAGACAGGCUCAGAUUUUAUGGUCUAAAUUUUGGGAGCUUAUUCUAAACUUGAGAAAACAUAUAUAUAUGGGGCCAGGCUCAGUGGCUCACCUGUAAUCCCAGUGCUUUGGAAGGCAGAGGUGGGAGGGUUGCUUGAGGCCAGGAGUUUGAGACCAGCCUGGGCAACAGAGUGAGAACUCACCUCUACAAAAAAAUUUUUUAAAUUAGCUGGGCAUGGUGGCACACACCUGUAGUCCCAGUUAGGUGGGAGACUGAGGUGGGUGGAUUGCUUGAGCCUUGAGAUUGAAGCUGCAGUGAGCUGUGAUCACGACACUGUACUCCAGCCUGGGCAGAUCACUCCAGAGUGAGAUCCUGUCUCAAAAAACCAACAGAGGCCCGGCGUGAACCACCACGCCCGACCUGAAACACAUUUUGAAUAACAAUCCCAAGCACAUUUUGUGCCCAGCAUUGUUCAAAGUGCUCAUGAUACAUUAACUCAGGGGUGGGCAAACUUUUUCUGUAAAGAGCCAGAGAGUAAAUAUUUUCAUCUUUGCAGGACAUAUCAUCCCCAUUGCACCUGCUUGGCUGUGCCCUAGUGCACAAAAGCUGCCAUAGACGGCAUGGUCAUGAAUAAACGUGGCUGUGUGCCAAUCAAACUUUACACACACUGAAAUGUGAAUCACAUGUACUUUUCACGUGUCACAAAGUAUUCUUUUGACUUCUUUCUACCACUAAACAAUGUAAAAAAACAAAACCGAGCAGGGUGGCUCAUAGUUGUAAUUUUAGCACUUUGGGAGGCUGAAGCAGGAGGAUCGCUAGAGCCCAGGAGUUUGAGAUCAGCCUGGGCAACCUAGAGAGAUCCCAUCUUUACAAAAAAUUUCAAAAUUAGCUGUGUGUGUGGAGCGCACCCCUAGUCCCAGCUACUCAGAAGGCUGAGGAGGGAGGAUCACUUGAGCCCAGGGAGGCUGAGCCUCCAGUGAGCUGAUGACACCACUGCACUCCAGCCUGGGCAACAGAGGCAGACCUCAUCACUAAAAAAAAGUAAAAAUUUUAAGAGGCCAAGGCGGGCAGAUCACUUGAGGUCAGGAGUUCGCGACCAGCCUGGCCAACAUGGUGAAACCUCGUCUCUAAUAAAAAUACCAAAACUAGGCCAAGGCGUUCAGAUGACUUGAGGCCAGGAGUUUGAGACCAGCCUGGCCAACAUGGGAAAACCCCAUCUCUACCAAAUAAUAAUUAUUUAUUUAUUUUUUUGAGAUGGAGUCUCACUCUGUUGCCCAGCCUGGAGUGCAGUGGCAUGAGCUUGGCUCCCUACAACCUCCGCCUCCAGGGCUCAAGCGAUUCUCCUGCCUCAGCCUCCCAAGUAGCUGGGAUUAUAGGCACGUGCCACCACGCUGGGCUCAUUUUUGUAUUUUUAGUAGAGACGGGAUUUCACCAUGUUGGUCUGGCUGGUCUUGAACUCCUGACCUUGUGAUUCACCACCUCGGCCUCUCAAAGUGCUGGGAUUACAGGCGUGAGCCACCGUGCCUGACCAAAAACUGCAAUUACUUUGGCACCAACCUAACAGUAUCAUUCCCAGUCUACAGAUGAGGAAGCUGAGGCACAGAGAACUUGAGGCACUUCCUCAAUGCCACACAGCCAGUGUUAAGUCUGGGAUUUGAAUUUGGGCAAGUUGACUCAUAAAGCCCAUCUCCUUAAGCCCCAAUGGCUCUACCUUCUAUAUCUUAGCAGCAAAAAAGAGCAGGAAAAGAAAGUGAGGGAUGGCCAGGCACAGUGGCUCAUGUCUGUAAUCCCAGCAGUUUGGGAGGCCAAGGUGGGCAGAUCACAAGGUGAAGAGAUCGAGACCAUCCUGGCCAAUAUGGUGAAACCCCG